rnacentral:rRNA from 1 species
GACGAACGCUGGCGGCGUGCCUAAUACAUGCAAGUAGAACGCUGAAGAGAGGAGCUUGCUCUUCUUGGAUGAGUUGCGAACGGGUGAGUAACGCGUAGGUAACCUGCCUUGUAGCGGGGGAUAACUAUUGGAAACGAUAGCUAAUACCGCAUAACAAUGGAUGACACAUGUCAUUUAUUUGAAAGGGGCAAUUGCUCCACUACAAGAUGGACCUGCGUUGUAUUAGCUAGUAGGUGAGGUAAUGGCUCACCUAGGCGACGAUACAUAGCCGACCUGAGAGGGUGAUCGGCCACACUGGGACUGAGACACGGCCCAGACUCCUACGGGGGGCAGCAGUAGGGAAUCUUCGGCAAUGGGGGCAACCCUGACCGAGCAACGCCGCGUGAGUGAAGAAGGUUUUCGGAUCGUAAAGCUCUGUUGUAAGUCAAGAACGGGUGUGAGAGUGGAAAGUUCACACUGUGACGGUAGCUGACCAGAAAGGGACGGCUAACUACGUG